rnacentral:rRNA from 1 species
UUUUGUAUAAUGGGUCAGCGACUUAUAUUCUGUAGCAAGGUUAACCGAAUAGGGGAGCCGAAGGGAAACCGAGUCUUAACUGGGCGUUAAGUUGCAGGGUAUAGACCCGAAACCCGGUGAUCUAGCCAUGGGCAGGUUGAAGGUUGGGUAACACUAACUGGAGGACCGAACCGACUAAUGUUGAAAAAUUAGCGGAUGACUUGUGGCUGGGGGUGAAAGGCCAAUCAAACCGGGAGAUAGCUGGUUCUCCCCGAAAGCUAUUUAGGUAGCGCCUCGUGAAUUCAUCUCCGGGGGUAGAGCACUGUUUCGGCAAGGGGGUCAUCCCGACUUACCAACCCGAUGCAAACUGCGAAUACCGGAGAAUGUUAUCACGGGAGACACACGGCGGGUGCUAACGUCCGUCGUGAAGAGGGAAACAACCCAGACCGCCAGCUAAGGUCCCAAAGUCAUGGUUAAGUGGGAAACGAUGUGGGAAGGCCCAGACAGCCAGGAUGUUGGCUUAGAAGCAGCCAUCAUUUAAAGAAAGCGUAAUAGCUCACUGGUCGAGUCGGCCUGCGCGGAAGAUGUAACGGGGCUAAACCAUGCACCGAAGCUGCGGCAGCGACGCUUAUGCGUU